rnacentral:rRNA from 1 species
AUUGAACGCUGGCGGCAGGCCUAAUACAUGCAAGUCGAAGGUACAUGAAAAAGCUUGCUUUUUUUGAUGACGAGUGGCGGACGGGUGAGUAACGCGUGAGGAACCUGCCUUUCAGUGGGGGACAACAGUUGGAAACGACUGCUAAUACCGCAUAACAUGUACGGAUCGCAUGGUCUGUACAUCAAAGCUUUAUGUGCUGAAAGAUGGCCUCGCGUCUGAUUAGCUAGUUGGUGGGGUAACGGCCCACCAAGGCGACGAUCAGUAGCCGAACUGAGAGGUUGAUCGGCCGCAUUGGGACUGAGACACGGUCCAGACUCCUACGGGAGGCAGCAGUGAGGAAUAUUGGUCAAUGGUCUGACGACUGAACCAGCCAUGCCGCGUGAAGGUCACGGCCCUAUGGGUCUUAAACUUCUUUUGUUAGGGAGCAAUAAGUUCUACGUGUAGGAUGAUGAGAGUACCUAACGAAUAAGCAUCGGCUAACUCCGUG